UAUUUGGUAGUCUAGUCGUUAGUAUUUCCGCCUGUCAAAUAACUUUGAGGGUGGACGACCGAGGUUCAAUUCCCUACUAAAGAG